CCUACGGGCGGCAGCAGUGGGGGAUAUUGCACAAUGGGGGGAACCCUGAUGCAGCGACGCCGCGUGGGUGAAGGAGCGUUUCGGCGCGUAAAGCCCUAUCGGCAGGGAAGAAGGAGGACGGUACCUGACUAAGAAGCCCCGGCUAACUACGUGCCAGCAGCCGCGGUAAUACGUAGGGGGCAAGCGUUAUCCGGAUUUACUGGGUGUAAAGGGGGCGCAGACGGCGGCGCAAGCCAGGAGUGAAAGCCCGGGGCCCAACCCCGGGACUGCUCUUGGAACUGCGCGGCUGGAGUGCAGGAGGGGAAGGGGGAAUUCCGGGGGGAGGGGUGAAAGGGGUAGAAAUCAGGGGGAAAACCGGGGGGGAGGGGGGCCGGCGGGACGGGGACUGAGGUGGAGGCCGGAAGGGGUGGGAGCAAACAGGAUUAGAUACCCCUGUAGUC
rnacentral:rRNA from 1 species